AGUUCUACUGUCGCAUACAAAGAAAUUUUUUUGAAUUUAAAAUAUUGGGGAUCUAUUGUCGGUGGGUGGAGUUCUACGGUCGCCAUAACGGCGGAUUGUCCCCCCAUCCGCCAGGUGACGCGAGUGUCUUCGUGAGGAAGAAAUAUUUGCCAUUUGUUUCCGAGACGCUUGACUUUAAAGUGUAUUCAAAAUUCAUUACGGAAUUGAGGUGUCGAUCUACAUUUUCAGCCAUUCAGUGCAGAAACACUUCAGAGCUAUUGAUUUUCAGGUUGGAAAUGGAGAUCUGUUUGCUCAACUGUUGCAGAAAUUUAGAACACGACAAAGUCUGAGCUUCAUGGAGUGUGGCAGCUGGCUGGAGCUGGUGAAAGGUGUGAUCGAGUCAUGGUUGAGUUGCAGCUUCUGCAUGCAGUUUAUCGAGCUGUUGCUAUCCCAAGUGUAACCGCAGGAAAACUUCUUGAAUUGCCAGGUGAAGUCUGCGCUACUUUGUUGCUGUCUAGUGUGUGCAUGGAUUCGUUUUGCAGUCAUCCAGUGAAAGGUGUGAUAAAAUUGAGCUGUUGCAUGCAGUCUUUGGUGCUGAUGUUGUCCUGGAGUGUGGGAGAGUCCCAUGCUUCAAGUCUUCUGGGAUCAGCCGUAUCUGAGUUGACGCUGGAUCAUGCUGCAUUGUGGUUGCCGAAAUGUUGGACAUCUAGUAGAACUGCAAGAAGACUCCUUAAAAUGGUUUAUGUUUACGUAGCAGUGAUGUUGCUGUCCAAUAUGGCAUGUUGUUGCAGCCUAUACUGGUGAAAGAUUUUUUGCAUCGAGUUAUGCUGUUGCUGUUCCUUGGUGCCGGACUGCUGGUGUUGUGCACACAUUUGUGUCUAUGCAGUUAACCGUUUAUAUGUUGAAAAGGAACAGAAAAGUUCCUUGGUGUUGAAUCGCUGGUGUUGUGCUACAUAAGUUACAUCACAGUGUUUUGUUUAAUUGCUAUUUGCGUCGAUGAAGUUGACCGUUUAUAUGUUGAGAAUGAAAAAAAAAUAGUAAUAUGGGGAAUUUUUACGUUGAACAAAUAAUAAACAUGCCUUCGCGAUUGGAAAACCAGCGAGGAGGAGAUUGGGGGGGGGGGGCAAUUGAUUUUCAUUAACUAGAAGAAGUCGUGGUUUGUUAUAAUAAGGUAGAAAUGAAAUCUUUUGUCUAUCACAUCUAUAUAACCACAUCUAUUCCUCCAACCCCAUAACUUCCACCAACAUCCAUUCCUUACACCCCAUAACUUCCACCAACAUCCAUUCCUUACACCCCAUAACUUCCACCAACAUCCAUUCCUUACACCCCAUAACUUCCACCAACAUCUAUUCCUUACACCCCAUAACUUCCACCAACAUCUAUUCCUUAAACCCCCAAUUCCCCACAAGUAUUUGUAAUAUGUAAAUUAAACUGUUGAAUUAAUAAACCAUUUAUAUA